UACGUAGGGGGCAAGCGUUGUCCGGAUUUAUUGGGCGUAAAGAGCGUGUAGGCGGUUUGGUAGGUCCGCUGUGAAAACUCGAGGCUCAACCUCGAGACGCCGGUGGAAACCAUCAGACUAGAGUCCGGAAGAGGAGAGUGGAACUCCGUGGUGUAGCGGUGAAAUGCGCAGAUAUCAGGAAGAACACCCGUGGCUAAGGCGGCUCUCUAGUACGGUACUGACGCUGAGACGCGAAAGCGUGGGGAGCGAACAGG
rnacentral:rRNA from 1 species